rnacentral:rRNA from 1 species
GACGAACGCUGGCGGCGUGCCUAAUACAUGCAAGUCGAACGAACUCUGGUAUUGAUUGGUGCUUGCAUCAUGAUUUACAUUUGAGUGAGUGGCGAACUGGUGAGUAACACGUGGGAAAYCUGCCCAGAAGCRGGGGAUAACACCUGGAAACAGAUGCUAAUACCGCAUAACAACUUGGACCGCAUGGUCCGAGYUUGAAAGAUGGCUUCGGCUAUCACUUUUGGAUGGUCCCGCGGCGUAUUAGCUAGAUGGUGGGGUAACGGCUCACCAUGGCAAUGAUACGUAGCCGACCUGAGAGGGUAAUCGGCCACAUUGGGACUGAGACACGGCCCAAACUCCUACGGGAGGCAGCAGUAGGGAAUCUUCCACAAUGGACGAAAGUCUGAUGGAGCAACGCCGCGUGAGUGAAGAAGGGUUUCGGCUCGUAAAACUCUGUUGUUAAAGAAGAACAUAUCUGAGAGUAACUGUUCAGGUAUUGACGGUAUUUAACCAGAAAGCCACGGCUAACUACGUGCCAGCAGCCGCGGUAAUACGUAGGUGGCAAGCGUUGUCCGGAUUUAUUGGGCGUAAAGCGAGCGCAGGCGGUUUUUUAAGUCUGAUGUGAAAGCCUUCGGCUCAACCGAAGAAGUGCAUCGGAAACUGGGAAACUUGAGUGCAGAAGAGGACAGUGGAACUCCAUGUGUAGCGGUGAAAUGCGUAGAUAUAUGGAAGAACACCAGUGGCGAAGGCGGCUGUCUGGUCUGUAACUGACGCUGAGGCUCGAAAGUAUGGGUAGCAAACAGGAUUAGAUACCCUGGUAGUCCAURCCGUAAACGAUGAAUGCUAAGUGUUGGAGGGUUUCCGCCCUUCAGUGCUGCAGCUAACGCAUUAAGCAUUCCGCCUGGGGAGUACGGCCGCAAGGCUGAAACUCAAAGGAAUUGACGGGGGCCCGCACAAGCGGUGGAGCAUGUGGUUUAAUUCGAAGCUACGCGAAGAACCUUACCAGGUCUUGACAUACUAUGCCAAUCUAAGAGAUUAGACGUUCCCUUCGGGGACAUGGAUACAGGUGGUGCAUGGUUGUCGUCAGCUCGUGUCGUGAGAUGUUGGGUUAAGUCCCGCAACGAGCGCAACCCUUAUUAUCAGUUGCCAGCAUUAAGUUGGGCACUCUGGUGAGACUGCCGGUGACAAACCGGAGGAAGGUGGGGAUGACGUCAAAUCAUCAUGCCCCUUAUGACCUGGGCUACACACGUGCUACAAUGGAUGGUACAACGAGUUGCGAACUCGCGAGRGUAAGCUAAUCUCUUAAAGCCAUUCUCAGUUCGGAUUGUAGGCUGCAACUCGCCUACAUGAAGUYGGAAUCGCUAGUAAUCGCGGAUCAGCAUGCCGCGGUGAAUACGUUCCCGGGCCUUGUACACACCGCCCGUCACACCAUGAGAGUUUGUAACACCCAAAGUCGGUGGGGUAACCUUUUAGGAACCAGCCGCCUAAGGUGGGACAGAUGAUUAGGGUGAAGUCGUAACAAGGUAGCCGUAGGAGAACC